GACGAACGCUGGCGGCGUGCCUAAUACAUGCAAGUAGAACGCUGAAGCGAGGAGCUUGCUCUUCUUGGAUGAGUUGCGAACGGGUGAGUAACGCGUAGGUAACCUGCCUUGUAGCGGGGGAUAACUAUUGGAAACGGUAGCUAAUACCGCAUAACAAUGGAUGACACAUGUCAUUUAUUUGAAGGGGGCAAUUGCUCCACUACAAGAUGGACCUGCGUUGUAUUAGCUAGUAGGUGAGGUAAUGGCUCACCUAGGCGACGAUACAUAGCCGACCUGAGAGGGUGAUCGGCCACACUGGGACUGAGACACGGCCCAGACUCCUACGGGAGGCAGCAGUAGGGAAUCUUCGGCAAUGGGGGCAACCCUGACCGAGCAACGCCGCGUGAGUGAAGAAGGUUUUCGGAUCGUAAAGCUCUGUUGUAAGUCAAGAACGGGUGUGAGAGUGGAAAGUUCACACUGUGACGGUAGCUUAACAGAAAGGGACGGCUAACUACGUG
rnacentral:rRNA from 1 species